rnacentral:rRNA from 1 species
AAAGAAACCAACAGGGAUUGCCCCAGUAACGGCGAGUGAAGCGGCAACACCUCAAAUUUGAAAUCUGGCCCCCAGGGCCCGAGUUGUAAUUUGCAGAGGAUGCUUUUGGCGCGGUGCCUUCCGAGUUCCCUGGAACGGGACGCCAUAGAGGGUGAGAGCCCCGUCUGGUCGGACGCCUAGCCUGUGUAAAGCUCCUUCGACGAGUCGAGUAGUUUGGGAAUGCUGCUCUAAAUGGGAGGUAUAUGUCUUCUAAAGCUAAAUACCGGCCAGAGACCGAUAGCGCACAAGUAGAGUGAUCGAAAGAUGAAAAGCACUUUGAAAAGAGGGUUAAAUAGUACGUGAAAUUGUUGAAAGGGAAGCGCUUGUGACCAGACUUGGGCCCGGUGGAUCAUCCAGCGUUCUCGCUGGUGCACUCCGCCGGGUUCAGGCCAGCAUCAGUUCGCCGCGGGGGAAAAAGGCUUCGGGAACGUGGCUCCUACGGGAGUGUUAUAGCCCGUUGCAUAAUACCCUGGGGCGGACUGAGGUUCGCGCUCCGCAAGGAUGCUGGCGUAAUGGUCAUCAGCG